rnacentral:lncRNA from 1 species
AAAUGUUUAAAUACUCUGCACGCAGCCUGGAGCUUUCUCUUUGCUGCGUGCAACUGAUCACCUGGAGCACUUGGACCGUCUGGAGGACAGUGGAGCGAUCUUCUCAUUGUCUCAUUGUCUGGUUACAUUUCUUUAUUUUCCCCUUCUUUUUAAUCUUCUCUGGUCCCUUAAUUAAUUUAAUUCCCUUUUUUCCCCCCUGUUUGAUUUCCCACCCCACCCCUUACCCUGCCCUUUGGGAAGAUUCUCCCUGUACCUGUGAGCGCUGCCUGUGCAUAAUCCUCCUUGGCUUUUUAACUAUGCUGUUUCUGAACAAGUUUAUUUUCUUCAAGUUUGUUUUUCCCUGAUAGUGGCGACUGCCAUUUUAGAGACAAGCCAUUGUGGCUUAGUGGCUAGAGUACAGGACUAGGACCUGGGAGACAGGGUUCAUAUCCCCCACUUAGCCAUUGUUGUAACAAAGCAAAACAAGCUGCUCCUUUUGGACUAUUUUGUUGCUGGGUAGUUUGGCCCAUUUGUGAUAUUGCUCCCAAAAAGAACUUUGGGUUUCUUGAGGUGCUUCCCUCUAAAGGGCAAGCAGGGGUACCUGGACAGGCAGUGGGCUGCCUCGAGUUUGUUAUCUCAUUGGAAACAUUUAUGUCUGGCCUAGCAGGUUAUCCUAGGGCUUGGCCCGCUUGGCCCUAGAAUUUGAUGGCCUCUGGCAGCAUUUCUGGCCUGAAUAGGGUCCCCAUGUGGUGCACAAAGCAUUGGUUUCACCUGUUCCUCACAUUGUUUAGGUUUUUUCUUUUUGCAGACUAUGACAGGGCCUUUGCAGAUGCCUCCAGAGCUUGCUUCUCCUGCAGAGGAUGACUUGCUGAUGCCCCAGGUGCCUUCUUCCAGAAGGAAGCGUCUUCAGAGGCAGGAAAAAGCAGAGCAGGGAUGAUGCUUACACCUCCUUGCAGGUAAAUCAUCCCUGGGCUCUGAUGAUGAUUCAGACAUCACCUUGGACCUCUCCAGGGGUCAGGAUGAGGCUGUUCUGGGUCUUUAGGGAUCAUCCUGGAUAGCUCAGCUGGUCAGCGUAUGGUGCCGGUAAUGCCUAGGUUGCAGGAUUGGUCCCUGUAUGGGACAACUGCAUGCUCCCUCAUCACUCUACCCGGACACUGAGGUCCAGCGCCAAGGGCCUUUCUGGUGGUUCCCUCACUGUGAGAAGCCAAGUUACAGGGAACCAGGUGGAGGGCCUUCUCGGAAGUGGCACCCGCCCUGUGAUACACCCUCCCACCAGAUGUCUACUACCAGACUUUUAGAAGACAUCUAAGGCAGCCCUGUUUAGGGAAGCUUUUAAUGUUUGAUGCAUUACUGUAUUUUAAUAUUUUGUUGGAAGCUGCCCAGUGUGGCUGGGGAAGCCCAGCCAGAUGGGUGGGGUACAAAUAGAUGAUGAUGAUGAUGAUGAUGAUGAUGAUGAUGAUGAUUAUAUUGUGGGAGAGUGGACUAGAUGAUCCUCGGAGUCCCUUCCAACCCCACUAUUCUAUAAGUGGUAAUUCACUAUGAUGGGAAUGUUAGACGCAGGGCUGCCAUCAUCCCCUCAGCUCACUAGGAUCGCAGGGACGGGGACAUGUGGACCACUUGCGCAGCUCCACAUUUCAAAUGGAAAUUCCCUGAGCAAUAGAACCUGAAGCUGGUAUGCAGGAAGCUGGCCUGGUGGCAGCUUUGUUGGGACUUCUUUAGGGUUUCUGGCCAGUGUUGGCCCUGUAAAUUUACACAUCAUGGUGGCAACAGAAGGCAGGGCAUCUUGCCCAAGCAGGGGCUGGCAAGCAAUAACUCAAUACCUCUCGUCCAUAUUUCCAUAAAAAUAUCUCCCUUGAAAGCCUGGCUAAAAGGUUAUCUAGAUGGGUCAGUGGCUUUGUGCAUGUGGGAAGGGUUUUUCCCAAGGUUUGGGAUUCCUCUGGCUUUUCAGCCAGUGGCUCAGAAUACAGCAACUCAAAAGCCAGUUAGAGAGCUACCUGUGGUAGCCAGAAAGAAGGUUAGGAAGCAGCUUGCAUUGGGACGUAUGGUGGGAUCCCCUUGGUUCUCCUUCUAGUCCCGAUUUUCAUUUAUCCCCAUUGGGGAUCGUCCCUAAGAAAGCCCCAUAUAAUUCCAUCUGAUCCAUAUUUAUCGCAUCCCAAAGGCACCUCAGUGAAUGAUGCUAUCCCUCUGGAAUUGUUCCAUGAAAUAUGCAUCUUUGGAUCAGGCAGUUGAGCUUACCAACAAAUUGGAGGAGGUGCCUUGUUGGCAUUAUGCGAUAUUGAAUCGGCUGUUAGGAUGCUGCCGGUUCACCCUCAAGAUUUUAAGUAGUUAGGCUUUAAUUGGAUGGUCCUUAUAUUGAUAAGGCGAUGCCAGUGGGUUGCUCAAUAGGCUGUGCAGCACUUGAGUCCUUUAGCGCCUUUCUGGAUUGAACAUUGCGAGUCAAGACUCGUUUAACUGGGGGUAUCGUUAUGUGGAUUAUUUUACUGGCUGGUUCAUGUGACACUAGCCACUGCUUAGGCUAACUGGACGCCCCUUUAUUCCCUGAGGAACUGGGUGUUCUGUUGGCAGUGGAGGACAGUGGGUCCUACUGCCCCUUUUAACGUAUUUGGGGGCUAGCUGGAUACCGUUGCUCAAACAUCUGCUUGCCUGUGGAAAAGCUGUUUGCCUUGAAGGACGUUAUUCUUGUAAUACUUCCUCUGAAGCAAGUGUUGCUUUGUCAGAUCCUAUCAUUCCUAGGUCAGUUAAAUUUUGCAUGCAGGGUGGUUGCUCCAGGCUGCCCCUUCCAUUCCUGCUUGGCCAGGUGGUCUCAUGGCCCGGGGUUCCUUCAUCAUCAUGUACAGUGGCCUUGAGCCUGGCAGGGCAAGGCAAUCACAUGUGACCUAACUUUUCUCGAGUUUUCCCCAUUGUAGUGUCAGCACACAUCUGGACUGAGGAGUUUAGGGACCGUCGGGUCUGUCUUGGUCUGAUAACCAGGCAGUGUGAGAGUCCUGGCAAAACAGUCCUCAUGCUCUGGCAGAGUCUUCGCACUGCUUAAGGUUUAAUAUUGCGUUUCUGCUCGCUUUAUUUCGGGAUCAUCUAAUGUUUUCGCUGUCGCUCUAUCCCGUUUUUUCAGUUGGAGAGCUUCAGAUCCUGGGCUCUGGAUGCCCAGCUAUAGCCGGAUUUUUCUGGAGCUCCUGUGGCAUUUGGCAACAAUUAAUAAUUGUGGUUCGAGGACCCGACCCCCGCGAUGUGAAAUAAAUACACAAGGACACGUGAUAUAAGGUUAAUGGGCAAGAAAAGGCCACAACUUUAUUGAUUACAGCAGUGAAAAGGUAUUGGCUUAGGCAUUGGAUGUCUAACACAAGGGGUUUAUUCACCAGUAGGUGGAGCCUGUUGAUGCUAAUCCAACUAUAGGCUCUCCCCUGAUGUCACCGGGGUCGUGCCAUGGCCUCCCGCCAAGCAGGCAUCGGACAGAGUACACGACCGCCAGAUUCCUUUAACGGAAUACCCAAAAAUUGAAGGCAUAGGCGAUGGCCACACCCAGCCCUUCGACACACCACAACACAUUAUUCCAAUGCCUAACCGCCACCCGAGCCAAUAAGGCUCGCCGCCAAUACCCUCACGGCUGUAACCAAUCCCUAAUGCUGCUGAUGACACUAUCUAGCCAAAUGUUGUUCCCCUGGUCAGAGGGAAGCGCCCCGUCAUUCCGGUAUAAGGCCCGGUCGCCGAUCCGGAUUUGGUCAUGAUAAAUGACUCGGCCAUUCAUGAAGCGCACCCAACGGGCCACUGCCCGAUUUACGAGUUUCCUGGUUUUUUCAAUGGAGGCCGAGGAGAGGCUGGCACCGCCGCAAAAGGCUGCUGAACACGCCCCCUCGAAGGCACCUGGUUGGAUGCCUGCCAAGGGGGCGUGGGCGCCAGCCAGGUGAGAGGAGGAGGCAAGGGGCUAAUGCCCCCUGCUAGGGGUGGUGCUCGGGCUCCCGCCCACAACCACUCCCCUCUCUUCCAGGGAGGAGAGUCUUUAUGAGGAGUAGUAGCUUACGUUUCCCCAUCUGCUUUCAGGUCUUAUGAGAAGGCCUGGACUGAUUUCUUAAAAUUUAGCUGGCAGUCCUCAGCCAUUCAGAGGAACCUGCCCCCAUCCUCUGAGCAGGACCUGCAGUAAUUCGCCCACCUGCUGCAGAUCGGAUGCACUGUUAAAACUAUCAGAAUUCAGUCCGCUGCAAUGUCUGCUAGAGUAAAGCUUUAAUUUUUCAGAGACCCUUCUAAAAGUGUGUCUUGCACAGGGUCUCGGAAGGUUGGACUAGGCUCCAACCUUCACAGGACAGCAGGCAGGAAGCCGGUCAAUCUUUGACCUAUGCAGUAUCCGCAACAAGUUAAGACUUGUCGGCUGGUUCAAGAUCAAGACGAGACUUCUUUCAGUAUUCCAUUGUAAUUUUGGUGUACUGAGGGUUGGGGAAAUUGUGUUGGAGCCAGCACGGGGCUGAGAGUUUGGAGGCUUAUUGCCUCAGGACUUUUCCUUAUCUGCUUUGGAGCUUAUCAUAAGUGUCUGGAGCUCUAAGUGAGACCUAGUGAGCAGGGUUGCCACCAUCAGGCUUCCAGUCACAGGUGAGGUGGGCCCUUGCCCUGUUAUUGGAUACCGGAAAUAUUUGGCUUUUCGUUCCCCUGGGGGCUGGCUCGAUCCUAGUGCACAGAAAUGGGUUCCGGUUCGACAGGCAUCUAAUUGCUCACGUCGUGCGCCAGUUAUUGCAGCCUGCGGCUUGCCCACCGCUGAACACGCCUCAUUCCUUCUGAAUAGGUGCUGCUGCAAAGGCUGCGCACUGGGGCCUGUUAGUAGACAGGAUUGUGAAUACGGGUCAUUGGAAGUCUGACGCUGACAAAGGUUAUGUCAGGAAGCAUCACCAAUGAUGCCUGUGCUGAUGCCUGUCUGUUAUUCCUUUUUUCAUAGGAGCAGCUGUGCGCAUUUGGAUUGUCGGCCACAGCAUCAUGCACUGAGCUGGCAAGCACCCUGAUGAGUCUGGACUGGGGGCGCCAUCUUGGCCUUCCUGCCCAUGUUUCUAGCUCCAGUCCGCAUCUGGAUUGUGGGGCACAGCAUCGUUUACUGGGCUGGCAUCAGAGCUAGGCAGUCUGGAAGGGGACUGGGUCUUGGCCUCCCGCAGCAUGUGCAGGUGUUGUGGAUGUCCAGGUGCAGAAUGCAGUGGAGCGAAUUCAUCCCGCUAAUUAAGCAGAGGGUGCUUUCGGAUGCCCCCCCCCAUGGCAAUUGUGGUUCAGCUGGGCGAGAACGAUGUGGCAACUUAUGAUUGCUUUACUUUGCGCUCCACGAUUCAGAGAGACUUGGGGGAAUUGGUGACCUUAAUACCCACAGUUAAAAUAUUUUGGUCACAAUUGCUGCAAAGGCGCAAUUGGCACGGCAUUUCUCGACCUGAGGCUGCUGAAAGGGCCAGGAAGCACAUUAAUUCCGCAGUGUGUAAAAAGGUGGCAGAAUUGGGUGGGUUGGUUAUUUCCCGCCCGGAUAUUACCUUCAAGGCUCUGGCCCUUUACCGCAAUGAUGGAGUACAUCUCUCUGUACUGGGGAAUGAUGUUUGGUUGGAUGCGGUAACUGCAAUGUUGAAGGUUGGGUUGGGAUUGUGAGUGGUUGGCGGAGAGUGUAAAGGGCUCGAUUGGCGGUUAGGCAUUGGUUAUAAAUUGGUGGAGGAGGGGUUAGGAUAGGCUGGGCCUGCCCCUCCAUUGUUGCUGCGGAAAGGGAAUUCCGUUAAAGGAAUCCUGGGGCUUGCCAUCUUUUCGUCCAAUCCCUGGAAUGGGACUAGGGCCGGCAAGCCUUCGGGGAGCAUGCGGAUGAGAAUUGAGGGUCUGUGACUCAGCUCCAUUUCCCCCCGACUUGUUUUCCCGCACUGUCUUUCGGUGGUGCCCGGAAGUCAGUUCUGUCCCCAGGCGGGGGGACAGAUAGUCUUAACCAAUGCCUAAACAACUACUCACGGUUUUGUAUUUAAAUAAAGUUGUGGCCAAAAUUAUGCCAAAAACCUUAAACAAAAAUUAAGUGUGCGUUGUGAGUUAUUUGGGGGGUGGCUUGGGGACCUCGACACGCAAAGACUCCUUUAGUAGUUGUAAAUCUAGGUGUCAAGUGGCCAUCCGGGGAGAUCUUCACCUGACAAAUAUUUUUUAUCAAGAAAAGUAGUCGGGGGUUCUAGCCCAAUAGCAUUCAAUUUCUCCCAUAACAGCCCUCUAGGUAUCGAGUCAAAAGCACUUUUCAGAUCAAUAAAAUCCAUGUAUAACUUCCCCCUUUCGGAUUUCAUAUAUUUAUCUGCUAGAAAAACAAGUGAGAGACAGUGAUCAAUAGUUUAUUUCCGUUUUGUAAAUCUGAUCUGUUCAGGGCCAUUAAUUCUGUUCAUUUUAAUCCAGUCCAAUAGAUAGCACUAUAAAUGUUUAGAGUUUACUUGUAGUGGACAGAAGACUAAAAGGGCAAUCAUUACACGGCUGCUCAGAAUUGCCUUUUUAUAGAUUGGGAUUGUUACAGAAGUUAACCACGAUUUUGGUAUAAUUCCAUAUUGGUCUAUAAGAGUGGGAAGCUUAGCAAACGGUGAUGG